rnacentral:ncRNA from 2 species
UAUUAAACAGGAAAUGGUGUCUUCCUGAACCAAACCGUUCCCACUGGCGGGAUCUGAUGGCGCCUGCAAAUAG